CCUACGGGAGGCAGCAGUGAGGAAUAAUGGUCAAUGGCCGUAAGGCUGAACCAGCCAAGUCGCGUGAAGGAAGAAGGAUCUAUGGAUUGUAAACUUCUUUUAUCGGGGAAUAAAGUUAUCCACGCGUGCCUCUUUGCAUGUAGCCUAUGAAUAAGCAUCGGCUAACUCCGUGCCAGCAGCCGCGGUAAUACGGAGGAUGCGAGCGUUAUCCGGAUUUAUUGGGUUUAAAGGGUGCGUAGGUUGGUUUUUAAGUCAGCGGUGAAAGGUAGUGGCUCAACCAUAAGAUUGCCGUUGAAACUGGAAGACUGGAGUGAGUGUGAGGUAGGCGGAAUGCGUGGUGUAGCGGUGAAAUGCAUAGAUAUCACGCAGAACUCCGAUUGCGAAGGCAGCUUACCGGGCCAUAACUGACGCUGAAGCACGAAAGCGUGGGGAUCGAACAGGAUUAGAUACCCUAGUAGUC
rnacentral:rRNA from 1 species